UACGGAGGGAGCUAGCGUUUUUCGGAAUUACUGGGCGUAAAGCGCACGUAGGCGGCUUUUUAAGUCAGGGGUGAAAUCCCGGGGCUCAACCCCGGAACUGCCCUUGAAACUGGGAAGCUAGAAUCUUGGAGAGGCGAGUGGAAUUCCGAGUGUAGAGGUGAAAUUCGUAGAUAUUCGGAAGAACACCAGUGACGAAGGCGACUCGCUGGACAAGUAUUGACGCUGAGGUGCGAAAGCGUGGGGAGCAAACAGG
rnacentral:rRNA from 1 species